ACGGCCGCAUCCAUAUUGGAUUUGCUGUCUCAACCUAACUUUGGAUCAACCUAGUAACAGCAGUAAGGCGGGACUGUGGGCGGGACCAAAGUUCGCCGACCGACCGACGCGACCGACGAGCUUGACGCUAGCAGCCUAGCAGGCUACUUCACAGCAUAGCUAACAACUGCUCUAUCUGCUACUGCUGUCCUGCUCCCACUCGUCCAUAACUAUAAACAAAUCCUCUGAAGUCAUGGAGUCUGUGGACAGUGAUGGAGUGUCAGCUUCACCCGCCAAAACCUACACCGUGUGGAUUAUUGGUGAC